rnacentral:lncRNA from 1 species
GGAGUGGGAAGCAGGGAGAAGGGGGUCUUGAGCGCUGAGGGGUCGUGCUGGGAGCGGGCUCUGGCAAUGCGGGCACAAGGGCCGGGGUGGGGUCAGGCUACCCGGACGCCCGCUCCCUAGAUUCUGCUGAUGGGUUGAGUCUCGCGUCAGACCGCUGUUGGCAGCAAGAGUCUGGGUCGCGGAUGUCAGGGCCCCUGCCCCCUCCUUUGUCUACCAGUCCCAGGGUUGGGUCAGUGCGCCCCGUCCCCGGUGAGCCCCACCCCAGGCCAAGGGGCUUCAGGUGACAGCGCCGCCUCGUGGCGGCCCCGAGCCACUACUGCUCCGAACGCGGGUCACGCCUCACCCCAGUCCCUUCCCCCUGGCCGCAGGCGAUGGAAAUGCAGCCCUGGCGCGAGCAGGUUGGAGGAGUGGGUGCCUGGGUGUCGCGGUCCCCCGAGUGCACCCUUGUUUCCUGUCAUUUAAUUUUCUCUCCUGAAAGCGUUGGUAAUUAAAUCCUUUGUGCGCGAGCCGUCGCACCCCGCCCCUGCUGCUCUGUGUAUUAAUUUCCCUGCACGGACAAGGGUUUCUGGACCUCGGCUGCCGGCGCCCUCGCCCUCGGACUCCCCAGCUCGGCUCCCUUGCUCUCCUGGCACCUGGACGGUCAGCGCCCAGCUCCCACCUGCGGAGCUCGGCACCACCCUGGCCUCAAAGGGAAGGACUGUCAUGGGAGCCCACUCCGCCAGCCAUCCGGCUCACGGGAGCCUGGACUCUCCCAGUGUCAUGAACGAGCUUGUGCAGAUGUUCCUCCCCUCGGACCUCUCCAUUUGAGGCUUGUUUAUGUGUCGUCUCAUUUCCACGGGGGGAGGGGUGCUUCUGGCCCCCGCGCAGCUCACCUUCUCUGCCCUAGGAGCGUGGAAUGGCGGUGGGGGAGCCUCUUCCAGGGCCCUGGGAUUGGCUCACCCUCUCUGCCCUAGGAGCCGGACCUCUCCAUUUUAAAGUGUCCAGCGAGUGAGUGUGGAGAUCCCUAGCAGCGCCUGGUCCUCUCCAGCAGCACCCUGACGUUGCCUGUUCAUACACAGUCCAGAAAGAGCCAGGUGUCAUUCCUGAACCCUGGAAAGGGCCCCCAGAAUGGACCGUUCUCACUUGUGCACACUGCUCCUCCCAGAGCAACUUGUUUGCCAUUCCCAGUCUGGGCAGUACGCAGCACAACC